ensembl:lncRNA
CACAGAAAUAGCCAAGUUUCUUUUUCAAUUUCCCUUCUGAGUCUUUUGUCACUUGCAGAUAGUUGCUGUUUUACUCUGAUGCUUUUGCAAAUAUGUUUCAUCUUCAGAGAGAUUCAUGGAAAAGACACUGACACUUACUCUAGAAUACAGGUUUCUGAUAAACUUUCAGAUCAUAAAACUGAACUGGGUAAGAAAUUACAGAACUCUAAAUGAGAAACUGAUGACUUCAUGAAACUGCUAACAGAAGGUUAAGAAUCUAUUACACAGGACCGAAUGAACUGAUGAGGGUGAUUAUAAUUUAUAUAACUUUUUUGAGAUAUUGCUGAUUUUUUUAAUGUUUUUGGGUUUUUUCCAGAUUUUAGGAAACCUUUUUCUCUUUUCCUUAAGCUAACUGUGAUUUAUAACAAUUUGGUAAAAUUAUACCUUUGUAGGCAAAAUUGAAACAUUCUUUUUUUCUCCCUAGCUUAUCCCUCCAGAAUUCGGAAACCCUUAGUGAGGUGAGUGCUAUUUUCAUGGCAAUAUAGUUACUUGCUUAAGUUCAGUAAGAAUCUGUUCUCCUUAUAACAGGACACAAUUCAUUAUAUUACCAAGCCUUUGACUGGAAUGUCGUAUUUGAGAGAAACAUGCAGACUCAGAUAUGACAAGUCAGCUUUUGAAGAAUAAAGGUCGACUUUAUGGAAUAAAGCCACCUGGAAAUAUUAGCCUGGUCUCUUAGUUACAGGAUUCCAAAAUCACUGAGAACUGAACCUGCCCUUUUUCCUGAAGCCCUACAAACUGAAGCGGGACAUCUUUACAUAAAUUUUAGAGAGGGGCUGGCUUGGUUGCUCAGUGGCUAAGUGCACACAUUCCACUUCAGCAGCCCAGGCUUCGCUGGUUUGGAUCCCGGGUGUGGACGUGGCACCCCUUGAAAAGCCAUGCUAUGAGUGAUUAAGAAUUGUCUUAAUCUGCAAAGUCACAUCACCAUGGCAUGUGCAAAAGAAGAAAUCAUGUCCUGAAAUGACCUUGGAACCAACCCACAGAACCCAAGGACUGAGACAUGACCAGAACUUGAAAGUCGGACUUUUACCAGAAGUGAGGGGUCCCUCAUUCAGGAAGAUCUGGUGUUAAAAUUCCUUCCUCACCUCAUCAAAAAUGUUUAGGACUCCAUCCUAAAUGUUUAGAACCCUAUCAUAAGUGUUUAAAACCUUACCAUAAAUGCUUGAAGCCCACCAAUCAAAGCCUGUCCUACCAGUAUUUCUGUGGACCAGCCCAUGCUCCCUAACCUCUUAAAUCUUACCCCAAAUCCUGAAUCAGGAAUACAGAUCUGAGGGUACAUGCCGCCUGUCUCCCUGAAGAUUGAUUUCACAGAAUAAAAGCUGAUUCUCCCCCAAAGGCUGAUGCCAUAAUUAAUUGGCUUGUUUAUGCACAUCAGGCAGAGAACUCCAAUUUCGUGUGGUAAUGUAACCUUUCAGAUUUGUAUUUUAGAGCCUGUUAUCUCCAUGAAUUAUCCUUGUAGAAAAAGCCUGCCCCUAGAUACCUAGAGGCCUCACCUGCACUGGGCAUCCUGCCGUGAAAGCUUGGGCUGGGUCCCACUGGUCUUUCUCCAUAAAGGACUCAGGAGCCUCAACCCACACCAGGAGCCUCUACAAGAAAGCUCUCAGUCGCCACCCAGCUGGCAACUCUCGGCAACUGGUCAGUGUGGAGGGAAGGUGGGAGCUCUGUGAGCUGGAAGAAAGUGCUGUUGAGACUCAAACUAGGUCUGUGAGUUGGGGGAGCCCUGACUCCAGCUCAGAGAUAUGUGGGGUUUAGGGCAAGGGGUCCUUGGCCUUUGAGUUUUUG